GAGUUUGAUCAUGGCUCAGAUUGAACGCUGGCGGCAUGCCUUACUCAUGCAAGUCGAACGGCAGCAUGAUCUAGCUUGCUAGAUUGAUGGCGAGUGGCGAACGGGUGAGUAAUACAUCGGAACGUGCCCUGUAGUGGGGGAUAACUAGUCGAAAGAUUAGCUAAUACCGCAUACGACCUGAGGGUGAAAGUGGGGGACCGCAAGGCCUCAUGCUAUAGGAGCGGCCGAUGUCUGAUUAGCUAGUUGGUGGGGUAAAGGCCCACCAAGGCGACGAUCAGUAGCUGGUCUGAGAGGACGAUCAGCCACACUGGGACUGAGACACGGCCCAGACUCCUACGGGAGGCAGCAGUGGGGAAUUUUGGACAAUGGGCGAAAGCCUGAUCCAGCAAUGCCGCGUGUGUGAAGAAGGCCUCGGUUGU
rnacentral:rRNA from 1 species